rnacentral:lncRNA from 1 species
GUGUGGCUCACAACAUAACUACUCCUGUUGCUUCUACAGCUAGGGGUCUAAUCGGAACUGUUGCCGCUGGCCUACGCUAGAGACACAGCAACACCAGAUUUGAGCCAUGUCUGCGACCUACACCACAGCUCACGGCAACACCAGAUCUUUAACCCGCUGAGUGAGGCCAAGGAUUGAACCCACAACCUCAUGGUUCUUAGUUGGAUUUAUUUCCACUGUACCAGGAAGGGAACUACAGGAGACACUACUUUCUUAAAGUGACCCAGUGAGGAAGUAAAUUACCAUAACAUCCCAAUACUUAAAGCAAAAUGCCAAAGUUCACUUUUUUUAAUGUUAAAAAUUUUAAAAGAAACUUUUAAAAGAGUAUUAGUAGGACAUUUAUCCUGGAUGUUCUAGUUUUUUAUUUAAUCUAACAUAGCACAGGUUUGGUUUUUUUUUUUUUUUUUUUUUUUUUUUUAAGGCAAGUUACUUCUUGCUGAGUAUGAUUUUUAUUUCUGUGGACCUUGGCCAGUGAUAGUAACAUAAAAUAUUUUCUGUUAUCUUUUUAAUAAUCAUAGCCCCUGAUCAUAUGGUAGAUGCUUAAAAAAUAACUUACAGUGUUUUUCUGAGGUCUUUCAUAAUGAAAUUGUGUCUGGAUGGCUGACGUUUUUGUGUUUAUGUGUUUAGAAGGAGAUUUUAAGGAUGUGCCAUUACUAUUUCUGGUUCUCCCCAUCCAGACCAUGCAGAUUACACUUCCCAUCUUGAUGUCGGUCAGGGUCACGUGACUUGCUUUUGCUAAUGAAAAGUAAGUAAAAAAGACGCAUUUAAGGGUUGGCGUACACUUCUCCAUGCCCUCUUCUCCUCUGGUUAAUCCAUGUUGGUAUCAUAAAAAUGUUGGAAAUUCAUUCAUCCUGGAAUCCUGCAUGACACUUAUAGAACAUAGCCUCUGUCAGCUAACCUGUGUUCUUCAUGAGACAUAAGUGAUAAUAAAAUUUGUUCCUCUAAGCAGAGGUUGCCAAACUUUUUUUUUUUUUUUUUCUGAAAAAGACAAGAUAGUAAAUGCUUUUGACUUUGUGGAUCAUACAGUCCCUGUUACAACUAGGCAACUCUGCCAUUGUAGAGCAAAAGCCAUCAUGGACAAUAAGUAAAAUCAAAAACAAAAACAAAAUACCAUGGGCAUUUCAAUAAAAUUUUAUUUAUAAAAGUAAGUAGCAGACACACAUUUUACUAACACAUGCUUUAAGCUUCAGAGUUAAGUUUGUUAUGCAGCAUAACCUAGUUCAUACUGUCUAUACUUUACCAAGGGAAUUUGUGUGAGAUCUGAACAAAUGUAGUGACAAUUUGUGGUUCUCUGUGAGAAUAUUUGUUUAAAAAAGGACCACAUAAAAUUGAUUUGGGUUCAGAUUUUUACUUAAUCAGAAAUCAAAAAAUUAGGGACACAAAAAUGCAUAGAACAGAUGUUUAAGAAAAAGCAUUUCAAACAUUUAGAAAUUUUCAUCAAAAUGAAACUUUCAGAAAAGAACACCAAAAGAAAGACUAUUUGAGAGGCUGUGACAAAGGCCAGGGAAUGAAUUAUGUCUAAGCAAGUGUCCACGGGAAGAGGCUUCCUUACUUCUUCCAUAUCACUUAAAUCCUAAUAUAAGGAAAUUUGGGUUCAGGAGAUAAUUUUUGAAGUUUACAAAGAGCCAAAAGUAGUCUUCUGGGACACAGUAACUUUUUAUUUCUCAGAGUUCACUGCCAGCCAAUUCUUUAGCUGUGCACUCUUUGUCAAAAUGUAUCUACUUGCAUAUUUGUAAUGUGGCCUUUUCUGUACAUACAUUACACUUCAUCAGAAAGUUGUUAACAUGAAUUAUUUAAUGAAAUAAAGUGGAGGAAAUCAUUUCUGAAGUGUUGCAUAAUAAAUGCCCAGUUAGUUUUAAGAGUGAUUUGUAAAGUGUGAUUAUUGUGUCAGUAAACUUCAGCUUUCUAUAAACCAGUCAGUGGUUCUCUGGGUGAUGCUGUAUUUGUGAAUUGGAUCUUGAACUCCCUCAUUUUCUAAAUAAGUACUUUUCUUGGUCAACCUCAAAACUAUUGGAUAUCUCUUUGGUGAGAAAAAUGUACCAAAUUUUCUCCUUUCAUUAGCAGAGAGAGUUCUCUCAGCCAAAUUUAUUACAUUCCUCAGAAUUUCUGUC